UGGGGAAUAUUGGACAAUGGGGGCAACCCUGAUCCAGCCAUGCCGCGUGAGUGAUGAAGGCCCUAGGGUUGUAAAGCUCUUUCAACGGUGAAGAUAAUGACGGUAGCAGGUAAAGAAACCCCGGCUAACUCCGUGCCAGCAGCCGCGGUAAUACGGAGGGGGUUAGCGUUGUUCGGAAUUACUGGGCGUAAAGCGCACGUAGGCGGACCAGAAAGUUGGGGGUGAAAUCCCGGGGCUCAACCCCGGAACUGCCUCCAAAACUAUUGGUCUAGAGUUCGAGAGAGGUGAGUGGAAUUCCAAGUGUAGAGGUGAAAUUCGUAGAUAUUUGGAGGAACACCAGUGGCGAAGGCGGCUCACUGGCUCGAUACUGACGCUGAGGUGCGAAAGUGUGGGGAGCAAAACAGGAUUAGAUACCCCUGGUAGUCCACACCGUAAAACGAUGAAUGCCAGUCGUCGGGGUAGCAUGCUAUUCGGUGACACACCUAACGGAUUAAGCA
rnacentral:rRNA from 1 species